rnacentral:rRNA from 1 species
GAUGAACGCUGGCGGCGUGCCUAAUACAUGCAAGUCGAGCGAACAGACGAGGAGCUUGCUCCUCUGACGUUAGCGGCGGACGGGUGAGUAACACGUGGAUAACCUACCUAUAAGACUGGGAUAACUUCGGGAAACCGGAGCUAAUACCGGAUAAUAUAUUGAACCGCAUGGUUCAAUAGUGAAAGACGGUUUUGCUGUCACUUAUAGAUGGAUCCGCGCCGCAUUAGCUAGUUGGUAAGGUAACGGCUUACCAAGGCAACGAUGCGUAGCCGACCUGAGAGGGUGAUCGGCCACACUGGAACUGAGACACGGUCCAGACUCCUACGGGAGGCAGCAGUAGGGAAUCUUCCGCAAUGGGCGAAAGCUUGACGGAGCAACGCCGCGUGAGUGAUGAAGGUCUUCGGAUCGUAAAACUCUGUUAUUAGGGAAGAACAAAUGUGUAAGUAACUAUGCACGUCUUGAAGGUACCUAAUCAGAAAGCCACGGCUAACUACGUG